CCGUGCUCUGAGACGAGCGCAGAUAUUUCUCCUUUGAAUCCAUACCAAAUUUCAAUUGUCAAAUGUAAGUUUCAGCGAAAUUCAUCAAUACGCUCCAAAUUCGGUUCCUCUCGCUUUAUCCCUUUCCUCCUGGAAUAAAACAAUAAAACAUCCCAAAAUCAUUUGAGGAACAGCUAAUCGAGACACGCCAAUCGAGACACGGAAAUGGUGGAGAGCCCGAGCUGAAGCCCCCCGCCGAGCGAGGAAUCCACUUCUAGAAGCUUCUGGAUCUCCCAGAAGGGGGAGGGGAGGGGAGGGGAGCAAGCCUAAGCCCUGGGACCCUGGGAGAAGGGUUUCUCUCGGCGGAUGGCGUCCGCCAAGUCGUCGAGGUCGCGUGUUCCCGGUGAACGCGGCGGCCGGCUCGGGAGGCGGCGAUGGCGGCGUGCAGCUGGCGGACAAGCUCAAGAUAUUCAAGACCGACAACUUCGACCCUGACGCCUACGUGCAGUCCAAGUGCCGCAGCAUGGACGAGAAGAGCAUCAAAGGAGAUAUCAGACCUUGAAGGGGAGCUGUUAUCUGUUAGAAAUUUGCAAAGUACACAGUCAGCUUUAAUUCAUGGUCUAUCCGAAGGAGUUCAGAUAGAUUCGUUGAGUACAGGGCAUGAAGGUUCUGCUGAGGAAGACAUAUCCACUGUUGAAGAUCAGGAGCCAUCAGAAAUAUGGAAAUGGUCUACAGAUUUCCCUGACAUGCUUGAUGUUUUGCUGGCCGAAAGAAGAGUGGAUGAAGCACUGGAUGCCCUGGAUGAAGCAGAACAAAUUGCUGCUGAUGCAAAACAGAAGGGGACUCUAACUACUGCUGAUAUUCUGGCUUUAAAGAGGGCUAUAUCUGAAAAUCGUCAGAAAUUGGCUGAUCAGCUAGCUGAAGCUGCUUGCCAGUCUUCUACUUGUGGCGUUGAGCUUCGCACUGCAGCUUCUGCUCUCAAGAGACUUGGUGAUGGACCUCGUGCUCAUAGUUUGUUACUCAGUGCACACAACCAAAGGCUUCAGUUAAACAUGCAAACAAUACAACCAUCUAGCACAUCAUAUGGUGGGGCAUACACUGCUUCUCUUGCACAGCUAGUUUUUCGUGUUAUAGCUCAGGCUCUUAGCGACUCUGCCGAGGUCUUUGGUGAUGAACCAGCAUACAUGUCUGAACUGGUUACUUGGGCUACUAAGCAGGCAAUGUCAUUUUCGCUGCUUGUAAAGAGGCAUGCUUUAGCCUCUUGUGCAGCUGGUGGGGGCUUAAGAGCUGCUGCGGAAUGUGUGAAGAUAGCACUCGGUUAUUCAGAGUUGCUGGAAGCUCGUGGUCUAUCACUUUCAGCAGUUCUGAUGAAGCAAUUCAGCCCCUCUGUUGAACAAGCAUAUGUAUCUUUAGGGGGUUUAUUUUCAUAAUAGCAUAGGUGGGGGAUUUAUAUAUAGAUUUAGAGGUUACUUUACGCUAUUUUUCAUAAUGGAAAAAUCAUUGCCGGUCAUCCAAGCAGCAUCAUAGUUGAACUUGGGAUCCUAGUCGAUCUCCACGUCAGUCUCCCGCCAUUCCAGUACACCAGCUUCACCCGAACUGCAUCAACCCAUAACCAGAGAAAAUACAAAAAAAUAAAUAUUCAACAUCAAAAACUAAUUUAGAUACAACAUUUUAUUUAUGAUAUAUACAAAGGAUAAGAGGACAUAACACCUAUAGCAGAUUACCACGAGACAUUUGAAAAUACUGACCAGCAUGCUGAAAAGGAGUCUGAAGACUUUCUUUUUUAAGGUAGAGACAUGAUUACCUGUGUGCAUGCGCUGGUGGUGUCCAAAUCAAAUUGUAUGCCUAUUUUGAUAAAAAAAGAAUUAGCACAUAGAUAAUAUCAUUAUCUAAAAUUUGUAUAUUCAAGUGAACUCCACUGAUAGUUCUGAAAAUGCUAAGAAAUAAACUAUCUCGGAAUUUUGUCAUCUUGACUUCCCAAUAAAUCAAUAAAAAAUAAAACAAACACAGACCCACGUAGAGGGGGAAGGAAAGAAACAACAGAUUCCAGACCAAGAUCCGAGAUGAAUCAAUGUAACCAUGGUAAAUUACGAACAAACUAAUCAGAUCAUGUAAGCCAAGGGGAUGGUACUGAAGGGGAGGGGCCGGGGGAGAUGGCUCACCAGCUUGUGCUGCACCACGCGCUAUGACUGCACAAUCACCGCUGCGCAUAUGCCGUAUGGUAGCCGACCGCAUAUCUGGGAGCCGCUGCGUCGUUGCUGGGCAUCUGGGAGCCGCCGCCGCGCUGCCACAGCACAUACGUAACCGCAAUUAGGUCGUGCGCCCGCCCACAAUCUUCGUCCCGGCAUGCCUCCGGGAUCACGUCGUGCGGCUGUUCGAGGUCUACCGCGCCAUAGCCCAGUCCGAGCUCAACUACAACCUGGUCCCCCUCGAGGUCGGGGAGGAGUACAAGCUCAGGACGGGCCUCAAGGUCAGGGCUUUCAGGACCUGCCACGUCAUACCCAGCCAGGGGUAUGUGAUAUACUCGGUGAAGAAGAAGCUGAAGCAGGAGUUCAUUGGCCUGCCGGGGAGCUGAGGUUAUCAGGUGUGGAGAUCACGAACAUGGUAUCCAUAUUGCUUUCACGGGAGAUACGACAUCGGAUUUCCUUGACCCGGAUAAUGCAGAUGUGUUGAGGGCAAAAAUUCUUGUUGUGGAGAGUACUUUUCUUGAUGAUGAAUCCCAUUCAGUUGAGCAUGCAAGAAAAUAUGGGCACACCCACUUAUCUGAGAUAGCAAGCCAGUCUGACAAGCUUGGAAACAAAGCUAUUCUACUGUUUCACUUUUCUGCUCGUUAUACUACAGAGGAAAUUGAUGCAGCAAUAAACAGGUUGCCACCAUCUUUCCGAAGCAGAGUUUGUGCAUUGAAGGAAGGGUUCGAAUGAAAAAACAUGAACCCAUACAUCAGCAAUGAAGUUUUGAAAAUGGGAUCAGCAAUGAAGUUUUCAAAUUGGAUUGUCUGGGUGUUUUCACUGGAAAUAUUUUUGCUAUUUGUGCACUAAUGAUAUUAUGGCAAUCAUUAGAAUAUUGAAGGUUCGUGAGGAAUGUUUUGUUGUGGGUACUCAAUGCUUGUUUCAUUCCCAUGACAUUGGAACAAUGGAAUAGUGCAAUGUGAAACAACCGUAUUAGCAACAGUUACUUGUGCUCGAAUUAUGAGCCUUAUAAGAAAUAGCAAUUGAAGUCUA